GAAUUUUCUUUCUCAUCUCCAGUUUUUAUUGACUUUCAUCUUCUUCUUUGCUGCCAUGGGCUAUUAUUCUCCACACCUGCACUCAGCCAGAAAUAUAAUGAAAAAGAAUCAAUCUCUGAAAAGAAAGUCAUCACCAGCCAAUAACAUUGGGCCACUGUCAUGGGUCCUGCAGUGUUUCAUCCCAUUGCCAAAAUGCCUGACCAUUAUAAACUGGAGACAGUCUCUCAGCUGCUCUUCCUGCAGAGGAAGGUACGAUUGCGAGGAAGGCCCGCAGGAUGAUGAGGCUUCACCCAGAAAUUGAAGGUCUGACCUUACGCCUCUGCAGUCAGCUGGUGGUUUUGCCAUCCAUGACAGUUGUGGUAUCUUAUGGAUUUAAACUUCUGAGGCAAACACAAACUGCAGAGGAAGAAAGAAAACUGUUGCUGUAUGUUCACGUUGCCUAUGCCCUCCAGUUCCGGAGAGGGUCUGUCACUUCUUCGAGGCUGUUGGUUGUUUCUAUGAUAAUUUGUCCUGAUGUGCAGAGAGGAGGGGACCAGCACUGCUCCGGUAGCAAUAAGAAUCCUCUGUGCUUCUGUCAGUGCCGUUUCUCCCCAAUAAUGUAACGCACAGACAGUAACCAUUACAGCGUUGGCACACAACUAUUAUGCAGUUGACAUCAGUGCUUAAGUGAGGUUGUAGUAGACUCAUUCCUUGGCAAUUAUAAGAGGCUCCUUCUGUACUGAGGAGCCCACAGCCUAAACAAAUGAAGCCAAGAGAGAUGAAGGAACACUCAUAUCCUAACUUUGUCGGUGGAAAACAAGAAAAGAACUUGUCACUUGUUCAAGAUAACUCAUGAAGCUCAUGGAAGUGGCAUUAACCCAGGUCUCCGCAGUCUUUGACCAGCACUGUACUUUUAAGAUCUUUCUUCCUUAUUGACAAAAUCAUUUCAUAGUUUCCUUCAUUAACUUUCAGACUCAAAAAUUCCCAGUGAUGUUCCCAUGGAGAAAAAAGGCUAACUUUUUUCAGAUUUUUAUGUUUGAUGUUUCAAAAUAUUAGGCACUCCCUAGCCCAUAUUCACACCCUGCUCACAAUAAUAAUACCAGGACAGACCAAAUGCAGGUCAACAAGUUAAACCACUGUAAAAUGUAUGAGAGUUGUAGAUCUGUCACUAGUGGUGUCCCCAAGGUUCAAUACUAGGCCCGAUAUUGUUUAACUUAUACAUCAAUGACUUGGAUGAAGGGGCAGAACCUCCUCAGCAAGUUUGCUGAUAUCACAAAGCUUGGAGAGUGGCCAAUAUCCCACAGUACUGUGCUGCCCUUCAGAAGGACCUUGAUAGGUUUGAGAGAUGGGCAGAGAAGAACAGCCUGAAGUUCAACAAAGGCAAAUGCAGGGCCUGCACCUGAGGAAGAAUAACCCUGGGCACCAGUACAGGCUGGGGCCAACCUGCUGAGAAGCAGCUCUGCAGAGAAGGGCGUGGGGGUCCUGGUGGACAACAGGCUGCCCAUGAGCCAGCAGUGUGCCCGUGUGGCCAAGAAGGCCAAUGGGAUCCUGGGGUGUACAGGAAGAGCAUUGACAGCAGAUCCAGUGAGGUGAUUCUACCCCUCUACUCAGCCCUAGUGAGGCCCCACCUGGAGUCUGUUCAGUUCUGGGCUGCUCAGCACAAGAGAGACAUGAAGCUCCUGAAGCAGGUCUAUCAGGCAUUUAUGAAGAUGAUUAAGGGACUGAAGCACCUCUACUACAAGGAAAAGCUGAGAGAGUUGGGCCUGUUCAGCCUCAAGAACAGACAACUGAGAAGGGACUUAUCAAUGUCUACGAGUAUCUGGAGGGAGGCUGUCAAGAGGAUGAAGCCAGGCUCUUGGUGAUGCCAAGCAAUAGGACAUGGGACAGUAGGCAGAAACUGGUAUGCAGGAAGUUCCACCUGAAUAUGAGGAAGAACUUUACUGAGGGGGUGACUAUGCACUGGAACAGAUUGC